UACGUAGGGUGCGAGCGUUGUCCGGAAUUAUUGGGCGUAAAGAGCUCGUAGGCGGUCCGUCGCGUCGAAUGUGAAAACCCGGGGCUCAACUCCGGGCUUGCAUUCGAUACGGGCGGACUAGAGUUCGGUAGGGGAGACUGGAAUUCCUGGUGUAGCGGUGAAAUGCGCAGAUAUCAGGAGGAACACCGGUGGCGAAGGCGGGUCUCUGGGCCGAUACUGACGCUGAGGAGCGAAAGCGUGGGGAGCGAACAGG
rnacentral:rRNA from 1 species